AAGUUAUUACUCUUAAAAUAAGGAAGGGACACAAACUAGUGAUGGAAUAUUCUAAUAAUUAAUUCGAGAAUCAUAUUGCAUAUAAUAAUAUUAAGAAUAAUUUUAGGUUUAUAUAUAGCCUAGUUUUAUUUAUCAUGAAUUUGUAAUUACAAAGAGAGAGAGAGAUAUGACAAAAUAUGAUGUGCUUUAUGUACUAGUAAUAUUGAUAAUUGGAACAAUUGUUUGUUAUGGUAAUGUUGAAUUCGACGGCUUUAUUCGUGAUAAUGAAAAAGCGUGGGUUCCAAGUGUUGAUGAUGCCUACAAUCUUGACACAUGUCAUAGAAAAUGCAAUGAAGCCUAUGACACAUCAACAAGAAAAUCAAGAAAUAGAUUAUAUGAAUGCAAAAAGUUGUGCAAAAGCCUAAAUCAGUGUAUAGAAUGGUGCAGGGAGCGAUGUCGUGGGGAUGAAGAUGCAUAUAAAAAAUGCAUAGAACAAAGGACUAAAGAUAUAAAUCAUUUUUUUUAGUUUCUGACUAAAGCUAUGAAUGAAGAUCCAAUUCAGAGAUGGAUAGAAAAUUUUAAAAAUGAUGAGUGCACUUAGUACUUUAUUAAUGGUAAGUAUUUAAUAGGUUUUUUUGUGAGUUUUGUUUUCUAAAAAAUAAAUGCAUCUUGUACUUGAU
rnacentral:lncRNA from 1 species